rnacentral:lncRNA from 1 species
GCACAGGUGUGCGCACUUCGCAUCUCGAAGGCCGGCCAGCAAGCUUCAGACGGAGGCUCACUCUGUUGCUGGCACGAUCUCGGCUCACUGCAACCUCUGCCUCCCGGGUUCAAGAAAUUCUCCUGCCUCGGCCUCCCUAGUAGCUGGGAUUACAGACAAGUGUGCCAUUUGACCAUCUCGGGAAGUGAGGAGAGCCCCCAUUGGACCAGUGUUUGCUUAG